rnacentral:rRNA from 1 species
UACGUAGGUGGCAAGCGUUGUCCGGAUUUACUGGGCGUAAAGGGCGUGCAGGCGGUUUGUUAAGUCUAGGGUGAAAGCUCCCGGCUCAACUGGGAGAGGUCCUUGGAUACUGGCGAACUUGAGGGAUGCAGAGGAAAGUGGAAUUCCCGGUGUAGUGGUGAUAUGCGUAGAGAUGUGGAGGAACACCGAUGGCGAAGGCAGCCCCCUGGGUCAAGAUUGACGCUCAUGCACGAAAGCGUGGGGAGCAAACAGG